CAUGUAGUUUCGGCUCUUAAGGAAAACAAUUUGCUCGACGCUAAUUGAACAAUUCAAGUUUUCUUAGCAGAUUUCAUGCUCUAUACUGGCAAUAAAGCGAACAGAAACCAAGCAAGCGGAAGCUCGUUUUAUUUUAUUGUGCUCAUAUCAGAUAAAUAAGACGGAGAAAUCGCAGUGUACGGUGAACAAUUGCUUCCGAACAUAGAAAACCGAGUCUUUGUCUGCGAAAUUACGCUUUCAACGAUUCUAAAUCUGACGAUCAAUCAUACGGCUGCUGCGGUGCAAUACCGAGCCAACUUCAAACACGAGCAGCAUCAGAGAUAAAGAGUGCACUGAAAAAAAGUUCACCGAGCUCGUAGAAGAGUAGAAAACGCGUAGGCUGUCAAAGCAUCACCGCCGUUCAACGCCUGCCAAGCAUCGAUCCAACGCCCACACCCAUCAGCACCGCACCAACAAGGCGGGAAAACAAUGAUAAAUUAUUGUAGCUUAUUUCGCAGGCAGCAACGCAUCGCAGCAAUCCGUGUGCAAUGUAACGCUACCAUCGCUUCUUUGUAAUGUGAUAAACCUUACAGAGCCGACUAGACACUCGUCAUUAUGGUAAAUGUCACGCAGAAACGAGAAGUUCUCUUUUUUUUGUAACAAUGCAGUAAUUCGCUAUUGAACCGUGAGUAAGCUGUUGCACAAACUCCGAAACGAAUCGGAAGUCCCGUCGUCGAAUGUGCCUGGCUGGCGGGUGGACGCAAAACAAACAGAAAUGAACCAAUCGUUCAAACCGCCCCACCACGAUGCACUCUGGUGGCCAGUUGCGGAACAAAAACCGAUUCUCGUUUGAAUAUAUUGUGCUUGGCCUGCAUGUAUA